GACGAACCGUGCGAACGUUGUUCGGAAUCACUGGGCUUAAAGGGCGCGUAGGCGGACCACCAAGUCCGGGGUGAAAUCCUCCGGCUUAACCGGAGAAUUGCCUGGGAUACUGGUGGUCUUGAGGGAGGUAGGGGCACGCGGAACUUCCGGUGGAGCGGUGAAAUGCGUUGAUAUCGGAAGGAACGCCGGUGGCGAAAGCGGCGUGCUGGACCUCUUCUGACGCUGAGGCGCGAAAGCCAGGGGAGCAAACGGG
rnacentral:rRNA from 1 species